rnacentral:rRNA from 1 species
CCUACGGGAGGCAGCAGUGAGGAAUAUUGGUCAAUGGGCGCGAGCCUGAACCAGCCAAGUAGCGUGAAGGAUGACUGCCCUACGGGUUGUAAACUUCUUUUAUAAAGGAAUAAAGUGAGGCACGUGUGCCUUUUUGUAUGUACUUUAUGAAUAAGGAUCGGCUAACUCCGUUCCAGCAUCCGCGGUAAUACGGAGGAUACGAGCGUUGUCCGGAUGUAUUGGUUUUAAAGGGAGCGUAGAUGGGUUGGUAAGUCAGUUGUGAAAGUUUGCGGCUCAACCGUAAAAUUGCAAUUGAUACUGGCAGUGGAGAUGAAAGGUGAGGUAGGCGGAAUUCGUGGGGGAGCGGU